UACGUAGGGGGCAAGCGUUGUCCGGAAUCAUUGGGCGUAAAGAGCGUGUAGGCGGCCCGAUAAGUCCGCUGUGAAAGUCCAGGGCUCAACCCUGGGAUGCCGGUGGAUACUGUCGGGCUCGAGUCCGGAAGAGGAGUGUGGAAUUCCGUGGUGUAGCGGUGAAGUGCGUAGAGAUCAGGAGGAAUACCAGAGGCGAAGGCGGCGAACGUGGACAGUUAUUGACACUAAACUUCGAAAGCGUGGGGAGCAAACAGG
rnacentral:rRNA from 1 species